UGCAUCUUGUCUCUGCAGUGCCAGAAUUCA
rnacentral:piRNA from 1 species